rnacentral:lncRNA from 1 species
GCGAGUUGAACGAAGUAAAUUCCAACACAAUACAAAUAAAUUGUGGGUAGCUUGCAAAAAUGUCUGGCAUUAUGACAAGUUUUAAUUAUUAUUGUUUCAAGAGAUAAGAAAAGUAAAACAAACGGGAAGGACGCCUAAAAAAUAGAAAAUAUUAAAGCAUAAGCCCAGAAAUAUUGUUAUUAUGUUGAAGUAAAAAAAAGAAUUUAAAUUGCACCCUUCUUUUAUUAACAUAUGCAUCCGAAAUUUUAUAAAAUUAUUUAAUGUAAGUAUAUCAUAUAAAGCUGCAGUUGAUAGGCAGAUAACAAUCACUCAGCAUGAAAAACAAUUCAACGAGAAUAAACCAAUUACUUGUAGGUCACAAUUUGUCACCGACCUUUGAAAACAAGCAUGGAAUAUUGCAUUAAACUUGUAGAAUACUGAUAAUCAAACCAGGUUCAAACUAUGUACAUAUGUGUGUGUCCAUACAAUGCGAUAUGUUUUUACAUCUUGCAAAACCUUUUUUACAAAUUUUAAUUUUGUAAGAUAUGCCACUUGAGUAUCUCAUUCAUCAUCUCAUUACAAUUUCAGAAAAUAUGCACAUUAGUAAAUUGUAAGCAGGUUUAAUAGCAACAUACUAUU